GUGGGGCGCUGACGCGCUCUUCCCCGGAGCCUAUGGCCGCGCAGCCCCGGACGGGGCGUGCUCCCUCCCCCCUCCUCUCGCUUCCAUCUCCGCCGUCUCCUCGGUCUCCCCUCCCACCCCGGCCCCUCCUCCGCCAGCCGCGUCCUCCCGGGCUUGGUGAGGAACUGUUCCUGGAGGAGCCGCGGGACGCCAAAACCAGCCAAUGGGAAGCGGCGAUUCGCGGAGAUUGGCACUGAUGAUGGGAAGGAAUAUUGAUCUCAGCGUUACUUUGACCAUUAAUGAAUUAUGAUGGCAAUAAGCAAAGAUGCGCACCUCUAGCCUCCGGGGAGCUUAAUCUUCUGCUAUAACGUUUGCAUUUGGUGUCUCUCUACUGCUCAGGCUGGAACACAGUGGUGUGAUCAUAGCUCACUGCAGCCUCGACUUCCUGGGCUCAGGUGACCCUCUCGCCUGAAACCAUACUCCCCCUCAAGUAGCUGAAACUACAGAGACAAGGUCUCCCUGUGUUGCCUAGGCUGGUCUUGAACUCCUGGCCUGAAGUGAUCCUCUCACCUUGGACUGCCAAAGUGCUGGGAUUUGGCACCACUGAGCCAAAUCCCAGGCAUGAGCCACUGAGCCUGGCCUGUUCUUCCUUCUUUAUAUGCUUAAAAACCUUCCAAAAUUAUCUCAAGAUUAUCCACUCCAGGAAGAACUUGAGCCUCAUUGAUUGAAUUGGUGUACUUCUCCUCCCUUCCUAUAGCUUUUUCUUUAUGUGUCUAUCCUAGCACGUCUCACACAGUAUUGAAUUCAUCUGUCCACCUGGCUCAUCAUACAAAUUUUUCCAUGAGUUCAAGGAUCAUGCUGCAUGCUGGAUUCCCCAGGAAGCUGAUUCUGAGAUGGAGUUUAGUGUACUAAAUAUUUAUGUGGGCCUUUGGAUCAUCACCUGUGGAAAGGAAGAGAAGGAAGCAGGAAUGGACCUAGGGUGAAGUGAAGCUCUGAUGCAAACCUGACAGCUGCCUCACCUGACACCAUGAAGAGCUCUGGAGCUAGAAUAGCCUUUCAUUGUUCUGAAUUGGUGUGAGGUAGCUAGGUCUUUACACCCCAGCCACCACCCAUUAUUGGGUAUGGGCCAACAAGGAAGGGGCAUGACCAUGAGUGAUGCAGCUCUGCAGCUGAAGCAAUAACUGAAGAGGCUGACAGCUGAGGGCCAUCUGCUGACACUCCCUGCAGCUGGGCAGCACAUCCUUUCUCAAAAGGGGAUCAAGGCAGCUGCAUCUCCGUGUCCGCCAUGGACUAUAUAUUUUUUUUUUUUGCCUUCCUAGGUCCUCCCAUAGUAUAUGGCACAUAGUAGGCAAAACUGGAGGUCUGUAGGGCAAAUUCAGCUAGUAGAUGAGUAUUGUUUUUUCACCCCCAACGGGAUUUUUAAAAAUUAGUUGUCAACAUUUAAAAAUAAAAAGAUUUCACAUUGAAA